CUCCCUGGGUGACGAGCGGCGGACGGGUGAGUAAUGUCUGGGAAACUGCCUGAUGGAGGGGGAUAACUACUGGAAACGGUAGCUAAUACCGCAUAACGUCGCAAGACCAAAGAGGGGGACCUUCGGGCCUCUUGCCAUCAGAUGUGCCCAGAUGGGAUUAGCUAGUAGGUGGGGUAAUGGCUCACCUAGGCGACGAUCCCUAGCUGGUCUGAGAGGAUGACCAGCCACACUGGAACUGAGACACGGUCCAGACUCCUACGGGAGGCAGCAGUGGGGAAUAUUGCACAAUGGGCGCAAGCCUGAUGCAGCCAUGCCGCGUGUGUGAAGAAGGCCUUCGGGUUGUAAAGCACUUUCAGCGAGGAGGAAGGUGGUGAGCUUAAUACGCUCAUCAAUUGACGUUACUCGCAGAAGAAGCACCGGCUAACUCCGUGCCAGCAGCCGCGGUAAUACGGAGGGUGCAAGCGUUAAUCGGAAUUACUGGGCGUAAAGCGCACGCAGGCGGUUUGUUAAGUCAGAUGUGAAAUCCCCGGGCUCAACCUGGGAACUGCAUUUGAAACUGGCAAGCUAGAGUCUCGUAGAGGGGGGUAGAAUUCCAGGUGUAGCGGUGAAAUGCGUAGAGAUCUGGAGGAAUACCGGUGGCG
rnacentral:rRNA from 1 species